rnacentral:rRNA from 1 species
GUGAACGCUGGCGGCGUGCCUAACACAUGCAAGUCGAACGAUGAUAGGAAGCUUGCUUCCUUGAUUAGUGGCGCACGGGUGAGUAUACCAUAGAUAAUGUACCUCUUAGUUCGGGAUAGCCACUGGAAACGGUGAUUAAUACCGGAUACUCCUUCUCAUUAUAAGAUGAGUCGGGAAAGUUUUUUCGCUAAGAGAUCAGUCUAUGUCCUAUCAGCUAGUUGGUGAGGUAAUGGCUCACCAAGGCUAUGACGGGUAUCUGGUUUGAGAGGAUGAUCAGACACACUGGAACUGAGACACGGUCCAGACUCCUACGGGAGGCAGCAGUGAGGAAUAUUGCACAAUGGAGGAAGCUCUGAUGCAGCAACGCCGCGUGGAGGAUGACGCAUUUCGGUGUGUAAACUCCUUUUAAGAGGGAAGAUAAUGACGGUACCUCUUGAAUAAGCACCGGCUAACUCCGU